GGGUUUCUAUCUAAUGUCUUGGUACCAACUAAUUUUAUACCUAAACCAAAGAAAAGAAAAUCAAAACUAUCCGAUGUUAAGUUUAAGGAUGAUGUGAAACUACACUCAAUCAUUGAGAGCGGUUCUGAGAGGUCAGACAGCACUGACAUUAACAAAUAUAGACAAGCAGAUAGAUCUAAUAGUCGU
rnacentral:ribozyme from 1 species